GUUCAGAUUGCAGGCUGCAACUCGCCUGCAUGAAGUCGGAAUUGCUAGUAAUCGUAGGUCAGCAUACUACGGUGAAUACGUUCCCGGGCCUUGUACACACCGCCCGUCAAACCAUGAGAGUUGGCAACACCCGAAGUCGGUAGUCUAACCGCAAGGAGGACGCCGCCGAAGGUGGGGUUGGAUGAUUAGGGUUAAGUCGUAACAAGGUAUC
rnacentral:rRNA from 1 species